GCUGUUUUAAGCUAAAUCCCACAUUAUUCGUAUUAUCUGAUAAUGGUAACAAUGUGGGCAUUGUUGUAGUACAAUGCACAGGUGGUGGAUUGCUUUUAUUUCGUUUUGCAUUGCCGAUCGUGAACUUUACAGAUAACAGGGUCAAGAUGCCAAGUCUGAUUGCCUCCGCAUGAGAUGAGUGUGAAGCAUCCACCGUACACUAUAGGGGGGUCUGUGUCUGGAACGCAGAUGUUAUCCUGGCAGAAGGUGGCUGUUCC